AUGAGCCCAGAUUGAACGCUGGCGGGAUGUUUACACAUGCAAGUCGAACGGCAGCACGGACUUCGGUCUGGUGGCGAGUGGCGAAAACGGUGAGUAAUGUAUCGGAACGCCUAGUAGCGGGGAUAACUACGCGAAAGCGUAGCUAAUACCGCAUACGCCCUUCGGGGGAAAGCGGGGUAGAACUUCUCGGCCUGCACCACCAUUAGAGCGGCCGAUAUCGGAUUAGCUAGUUGGUGGGGUAACGGCUCACCAAGGCGACGAUCCGUAGCUGGUUUGAGAGGACGACCAGCCACACUGGGACUGAGACACGGCCCACUCCUACGGGAGGCAGCAGUGGGGAAUUUUGGACAAUGGGGAAACCCUGAUCCAGCCAUCCGCGUGCGAUGAAGGCCUUCGCUGUGAAGCACUUUGGCAGGAAACGGCACGAUGCACCGCAACUGACGGUACCCGCAGAAUAAGCACCGCUAACUACGUGCCAGCAGCCGCGGUAAUACGUAGGGUGCAAGCGUUAAUCAGAAUUACUGGGCGUAAAGCGUGCGCAGGCGGUUCUGGAAAGAAAGAUGUGAAAUCCCAGAGCGAACUUGGAACUGCAUUUUUAACUAAUGAGCUAGAGUGUGUCAGAGUGGAGGUGGAAUUCCGCGUGUAGCAGUGAAAUGCGUAGAUAUGCGGAGAACACCGAUGGCGAAGGGGCAGCCUCCUGGGAUAACACUGACGCUCAUGCACGAAAGCGUGGGAGCAACAGAUUAGAUAAUUUGGUAAUCCACGCUCUAAACGAUGUCAACUAGCUGUUGGGGCCUUCGCCUUGUAGCGCAGCUAACGCAGAAGUUGACCGCCUGGGAGUACGGCCGCAAGAUUAAAACUCAGUGAAUUGAUGGGACUCGCACAAGCAGGAUGAUGUGGAUUAAUUCGAUGCAACGCGAAAACUUAUUUACCUUGAUACGGUUGGAAUCCCGAAGAGAUUUGGGAAUGCUCGCAAGAGAACCGGAACACAGGUGCUGCAUGAGUUGUCGUCAGCUCGUGUCGAGAUGUUGGGUUAAGUCCCAACGAGCGCAACCCUUGUCAUUAGUUGCUACGAAAGGGCACUCUAAUGAGACUGCCGGUACAAACCCGAGGCGGCGGGAUGAUGUCAAGUCCGGCGGCCUUUAUGGGUAGGGCUUCACACGUCAUACAAUGGUCGGGACAGAGGGUCGCCAACCUUAUGAGGGGGAGCCAAUCCCAGAAACCCGAUCGUAGUCCGGAUCGCAGUCUGCAACUCGACUGCGGAAGUCGGAACGCUAGUAAUCGCGGAUCAGCAUGUCGCGGUGAAUACGUUCCCCGGGUCUUGUACACACCGCCCGUCACACCAUGGGAGUGGGUUUUACCAGAAGUAGUUAGUCAACCGCAAGGAGGGCGAUUACCACGGUAGGAUUCAUGACUGGGGUGAAGUCGUAACAAGGUAG
rnacentral:rRNA from 1 species